rnacentral:rRNA from 2 species
AGUCGAACGCGUUGGCCCAAUUGAUUGACGGUGCUUGCACCUGAUUGAUUUUGGUCGCCAACGAGUGGCGGACGGGUGAGUAACACGUAGGUAACCUGCCCAGAAGCGGGGGACAACAUUUGGAAACAGAUGCUAAUACCGCAUAACAGCGUUGUUCGCAUGAACAACGCUUAAAAGAUGGCUUCUCGCUAUCACUUCUGGAUGGACCUGCGGUGCAUUAGCUUGUUGGUGGGGUAACGGCCUACCAAGGCGAUGAUGCAUAGCCGAGUUGAGAGACUGAUCGGCCACAAUGGGACUGAGACACGGCCCAUACUCCUACGGGAGGCAGCAGUAGGGAAUCUUCCACAAUGGGCGCAAGCCUGAUGGAGCAACACCGCGUGAGUGAAGAAGGGUUUCGGCUCGUAAAGCUCUGUUGUUAAAGAAGAACACGUAUGAGAGUAACUGUUCAUACGUUGACGGUAUUUAACCAGAAAGUCACGGCUAACUACGUGCCAGCAGCC